rnacentral:lncRNA from 1 species
GUCCACCUCAAGUAUAUAAAGGAUCCUCCUUGCUAACAAUAAAGUAAGGGUCUAAGAGUAAAAGGGUUAGGCUUGAAUCAGACCAAGCCAAGGAUUUGGGAGUGCCUCGAAGCAGCUUUCUGUAAGAAAACCUACCCACCAACAACUUUUACAAGGGCAGAAGGACGAGCUGCUUGGCUGCUGUCUGUGUGCUGGAAAAGACAAGGGCAUCGACAUAAAUAAUAGCAGCACCCAUUAAGCCUGUUCCUGAUCAGCCUGGCUGGACUCUGCAACAAUAGGGCAGGUGCAGCUGGGAAGGAAAACACCUCUGCCCAAAGGCUGCAGCAAGGGAUUUGUCCCUCUCUCCUGGUUCCAGCCUUUGCCAACACCAAGGCCUG